rfam:Myotis brandtii contig245538, whole genome shotgun sequence.
GGCGGUUCUCAGGUGACGCAUCCGGGAAUCGGGCUCCCUCCUCUCUGGUUCUAGGUGCAUCACCCAAGAACUGCA